UUUUUCUUUUUUUCUUUCUUUCUUUUUUUUUUUUUUGAGAAGGAGUUUUGCUCUUGUCACCCAAGCUAGAAUGCAAUGGCGCAAACUUGGCUCACUGCAACCUCCACCUCCUGAGUUCAAGUGAUUCUCCUGCCCCAGCCUCCCGAGUAGCUGGGAUUACAGGCGCCUGCCACCAUGCCCAGCUAAUUUUUGUAUUUUUAGUAGAGACAGAAUUUUGCCAUGUUAGCCAGGCUGGUCUCGAAUUCCUGACCUCAGGUGAUCUGUCUGCCUCGGCCUCUCAAAGUGCUGGGAUUACAGGCGUGAGCCACUGCUCCUGGCCUGGAUAUUUCUAUUAUUCCCUGAAUGUUUUGGUGAGCUUGAAAUAUUUUACAUUUAAAACAGAGGGGAAAUUUACUAUUGUUAUUGUUUAAAAACAUAUGGCAGUAGGCAUUUUCCAAAAUGAUGCAUAACAAUAUAAUGAAUUUGAUUGGAUGUUGGAUUUUUAGUCACCUUGAAGGCAAGUUCCUUGGCUUAGUUUUAUUUCCCUAGAGUAUCUCAAAGCAACAGGUGCUUUUCUUUAAAAUCCAAUAAAGAUCAUUCUUUUCCCUUCACGUGUCAUUAAUAAAAAGCUUUUAUUUGCUUAUUAAAAAAUAGUUCCAGAUUAAUGAUUGAUAUUACCUCAGAAUAUUGAAUGAAAUGAAACAAUGAAACAAUAAAAUCUCUCUAAAUAAUUAGUUUCCUGAUCUGUAAUUUUAACCAACUACCUAAAAUGAUUUUAGCUUUCAUUAUUGGGUAAGUGCUUCCAGUGGGUUACAAAUAGCUGUUGCUUUUAGAUCAGAUACAUUUUUCUUUUGCUGAGUAUGGCUAUGUCUAUAAUUUUUAGAUUGAUUAAAUUAUUACAGUAGAGAACCUCUGUUUUUACUUCUAUGCUACUAUUUUAAUUCUCAGCCAAGACAGAAAAGUGAACAUAUGCAAAAUCAGAUUUCAACCCAAUAAAAGUGUUUAUACAAUGGAAGCCUAUAAAUUUGAAAAUAAAAUUUAUUUAAGAGUGUGGUAGCCAGCCUUCAGGAUGGCUCUAAUGAUCCUCAUCUCCAACUUUCAACUUUCAACUUUCAACACGGCUGUAAUGAUCCUCAUCUCCAACUUUCCUUGUAGUCCCCUUCCACACUGAACCAGGUUUAGUCUGCAAGUGACCAUACAAGUGAUGGCGUGGGUCUUCUAAGGCUAGGUCAUGAAAGGCAGCACAGUGCCUCUUCUACUCUGCUCCCUUGGAUCAGCCACUCUGGGAGAAUCCAGAAGCCAUGUCAUCUGGAUAUUCAAGGAGCUGUCUAGAGAGUUCCACAUGAAAAGUACUGAGACUUCUUGGAAAAACAGCCAUAAACAGCAAACUAAUAACACGAGUGAGUCAUCUCGGAAGCUGAUUUGCAGCCACAGUAAAAUCUUAAGAUGACUGUGGUCCUGGCGAGAUCUCAUGAGAAAUCCAGAGCCAUAACUGCCCAGCUAAGCCACUCCUGAUUUCCUGAUUACCAGAAACCAUAAGAUAAUAAAUUGUUAUUUUAAGCCACUAAAUUUUGGGGUAAUUUGUUACACAGCAUAGAUAACUAGUACAAAGAGAUGUUUGCUAAAUUUACAAAAUUCAAAUACAAGGCAAAUAACUAUGCUCAGACUGAGGACACUGUAAAGAGUUCUUUAGAUAACCAUAAAGCUCACAGCGCAGAUAUUUUCCCAGUAAGUAGUAUAGUUGUCAAGAACUGAGUAGAAAAUGUGUUGGACAUAGAUUUGGCAUGGAAAUUAUUGUUUUUUACUGUAUGAUGACUUGAAGAUGGGUACCAUACCAUACAUAUGUUCAACUGUGACAGCUAAAGUUAUUUCUCCAUUAGAGACUUUUGCAACAGGUUCCACCUAUAUACACUAAGCAUAUAAUUCUAUUCACAAAAAAACCAAUAUACCCAUUUUUAGAAAAAAAAAUUUAGUAAAAAUAUCAUUCUUAUUAUUUUUGAAAGUUUUGCUUCACAGUAAAUGAUGCAUGGGUUUUGUGACAUUGCCGAGUGCCUCUCCAUAUGGGGAGCUGAGCCUGCACACAGGCGGUAAUGCAUGCAUCACCACAUACUCACUAAUGAAGCAAGGUAAAGAAAUAGAAAAGCUUUUCAUUCCCUCAAUAUGCAGCUGGUGUGUGAUGCCAGAUGUAAAAUCAUUGAUGUUCUUGCCAAGUUCUCAGGAUCAUGUCAUGAUUUAUUUAAACUAAGACAAUCAAGAAUAGGUUGAUUUUUGUAAAAAAUAGUCAAAUACAAGGAGGCCGAUGAGUAGGUGGAUAGGAACAUAUCUUCUCUAAAAUAUUGACUGUGUAUUAAAUAUAAGAUUAUUUGUAUCCUUCAUUCUUUCUUUGUAUUAUAUUGUGGUUUUCCUCUGAAGAGAGUAAAUGGCUCUACUUU
rnacentral:lncRNA from 1 species